rnacentral:rRNA from 1 species
CACAUGCAAGUCGAACGGUAACAGGAAGCAGCUUGCUGCUUCGCUGACGAGUGGCGGACGGGUGAGUAAUGUCUGGGAAACUGCCUGAUGGAGGGGGAUAACUACUGGAAACGGUGGCUAAUACCGCAUAACGUCGCAAGACCAAAGAGGGGGACCUUCGGGCCUCUUGCCAUCAGAUGUGCCCAGAUGGGAUUAGCUAGUUGGUGAGGUAACGGCUCA